CCUACGGGCGGCUGCAGCGGGGAAUAUUGCACAAUGGGCGCAAGCCUGAUGCAGCCAUGCCGCGUGUGUGAAGAAGGCCUUCGGGUUGUAAAGCACUUUCAGCGGGGCGGAAGGCGUUAAGGUUAAUAACCUUGGCGAUUGACGUUACCCGCAGAAGAAGCACCGGCUAACUCCGUGCCAGCAGCCGCGGUAAUACGGAGGGUGCAAGCGUUAAUCGGAAUUACUGGGCGUAAAGCGCACGCAGGCGGUCUGUCAAGUCGGAUGUGAAAUCCCCGGGCUCAACCUGGGAACUGCACUCGAAACUGGCAGGCUAGAGUCUUGUAGAGGGGGGUAGAAUUCCAGGUGUAGCGGUGAAAUGCGUAGAGAUCUGGAGGAAUACCGGUGGCGAAGGCGGCCCCCUGGACAAAGACUGACGCUCAGGUGCGAAAGCGUGGGGAGCAAACAGGAUUAGAUACCCUAGUAGUC
rnacentral:rRNA from 1 species